UACGUAGGCAGCGAGCGUUGUUCGGAGUUACUGGGCGUAAAGGGCGCGUAGGCGGCAAUUCAAGUCAUCUGUGAAAUCUCCGGGCUUAACCCGGAACGGUCAGGUGAUACUGUUUUGCUAGAGUGCGGAAGGGGCAAUCGGAAUUCUCGGUGUAGCGGUGAAAUGCGUAGAUAUCGAGAGGAACACCAGAGGUGAAGACGGGUUGCUGGGCCGACACUGACGCUGACAGCGCGAAAGCCAGGGGAGCAAACGGG
rnacentral:rRNA from 1 species